rnacentral:rRNA from 1 species
GACGAACGCUGGCGGCGUGCCUAAUACAUGCAAGUAGAACGCUGAAGAGAGGAGCUUGCUCUUCUUGGAUGAGUUGCGAACGGGUGAGUAACGCGUAGGUAACCUGCCUUGUAGCGGGGGAUAACUAUUGGAAACGAUAGCUAAUACCGCAUAACAAUGGAUGACACAUGUCAUUUAUUUGAAAGGGGCAAUUGCUCCACUACAAGAUGGACCUGCGUUGUAUUAGCUAGUAGGUGAGGUAACGGCUCACCUAGGCGACGAUACAUAGCCGACCUGAGAGGGUGAUCGGCCACACUGGGACUGAGACACGGCCCAGACUCCUACGGGAGGCAGCAGUAGGGAAUCUUCGGCAAUGGGGGCAACCCUGACCGAGCAACGCCGCGUGAGUGAAGAAGGUUUUCGGAUCGUAAAGCUCUGUUGUAAGUCAAGAACGAGUGUGAGAGUGGAAAGUUCACACUGUGACGGUAGCUUACCAGAAAGGGACGGCUAACUACGUGCCAGCAGCCGCGGUAAUACGUAGGUCCCGAGCGUUGUCCGGAUUUAUUGGGCGUAAAGCGAGCGCAGGCGGUUCGAUAAGUCUGAAGUUAAAGGCUGUGGCUCAACCAUAGUUCGCUUUGGAAACUGUCAAACUUGAGUGCAGAAGGGGAGAGUGGAAUUCCAUGUGUAGCGGUGAAAUGCGUAGAUAUAUGGAGGAACACCGGUGGCGAAAGCGGCUCUCUGGUCUGUAACUGACGCUGAGGCUCGAAAGCGUGGGGAGCGAACAGGAUUAGAUACCCUGGUAGUCCACGCCGUAAACGAUGAGUGCUAGGUGUUGGAUCCUUUCCGGGAUUCAGUGCCGCAGCUAACGCAUUAAGCACUCCGCCUGGGGAGUACGACCGCAAGGUUGAAACUCAAAGGAAUUGACGGGGGCCCGCACAAGCGGUGGAGCAUGUGGUUUAAUUCGAAGCAACGCGAAGAACCUUACCAGGUCUUGACAUCCCGAUGCUAUUUCUAGAGAUAGAAAGUUACUUCGGUACAUCGGUGACAGGUGGUGCAUGGUUGUCGUCAGCUCGUGUCGUGAGAUGUUGGGUUAAGUCCCGCAACGAGCGCAACCCCUAUUGUUAGUUGCCAUCAUUCAGUUGGGCACUCUAGCGAGACUGCCGGUAAUAAACCGGAGGAAGGUGGGGAUGACGUCAAAUCAUCAUGCCCCUUAUGACCUGGGCUACACACGUGCUACAAUGGUUGGUACAACGAGUUGCGAGUCGGUGACGGCAAGCUAAUCUCUUAAAGCCAAUCUCAGUUCGGAUUGUAGGCUGCAACUCGCCUACAUGAAGUCGGAAUCGCUAGUAAUCGCGGAUCAGCACGCCGCGGUGAAUACGUUCCCGGGCCU